UGCAGUCGAGCGGCAGCGGAAAGUAGCUUGCUACUUUGCCGGCGAGCGGCGGACGGGUGAGUAAUGUCUGGGAAACUGCCUGAUGGAGGGGGAUAACUACUGGAAACGGUGGCUAAUACCGCAUAACGUCGCAAGACCAAAGUGGGGGACCUUCGGGCCUCACGCCAUCGGAUGUGCCCAGAUGGGAUUAGCUAGUAGGUGGGGUAAUGGCUCACCUAGGCGACGAUCCCUAGCUGGUCUGAGAGGAUGACCAGCCACACUGGAACUGAGACACGGUCCAGACUCCUACGGGAGGCAGCAGUGGGGAAUAUUGCACAAUGGGCGCAAGCCUGAUGCAGCCAUGCCGCGUGUGUGAAGAAGGCCUUCGGGUUGUAAAGCACUUUCAGCGAGGAGGAAGGCAUCACACUUAAUACGUGUGGUGAUUGACGUUACUCGCAGAAGAAGCACCGGCUAACUCCGUGCCAGCAGCCGCGGUAAUACGGAGGGUGCAAGCGUUAAUCGGAAUUACUGGGCGUAAAGCGCACGCAGGCGGUUUGUUAAGUCAGAUGUGAAAUCCCCGCGCUUAACGUGGGAACUGCAUUUGAAACUGGCAAGCUAGAGUCUUGUAGAGGGGGGGUAGAAUUCCAGGUGUAGCGGUGAAAUGCGUAGAGAUCUGGAGGAAUACCGGUGGCGAA
rnacentral:rRNA from 1 species